GGUGCGGCCUGCGAGGGGACGGGGGGUUUGGUUAGAGGGCACCUCAGUCGGCGCGUACAUUCGCCGGCCUCUUCUUAGGGUUGGAGGGUUCGCUGAGACGGGGUAGCACCAGCAGUCGUCGUCGUCGUCGAUCUCGGCACCGCUACCGCCGCCGCCGCCACCCCUCCUCCGACGACGACGUCAGCCUCUGCGGCGCCGCGGUCGUCGUCGUCCGCCGCGGCAGCGGCACCUCGCGCCCCAUGGAGUUGUGCACCGACAGCGUCGCGUGCGGGCAGAAGCCGGAGGCGGAGACCCACGAGUACCCGUAGCGGCAGCCGCGGCGGUAGCACGAGCACGAGGACGACGAGAAGGAGACGGAGAGCGCGGCGGCGGCCCCGGCGGCGCGCCGGUUAGAGAUGGUGGGGCGGCUGCGGUUCGGGGAGUUCGUCGUCGUCGUGGACGUCGUGGUCGUGCGCGGGUGCGGCCGGUUCCUGUAGGUCCUCUAGCACGCGGCCGUCGUCGUGGUCGUCGGCCGCGGCUGGGGCGACGGCGUCGGGCGGCGCCGCGUCUACCGGUUCCGCCUCGGCGGCGGCGGCGUCUGCGUCUGCGACGUCGUCGUCUCCCGCGUCGAGGGCCGCUACGGGCGCCCCAGGUUCGCGAGGUGCCGCCGGUCGCCGGACAGCCGGUGGUGCUCGCCGCCCUCGCUCGCCCUGGACCGGUGCGGCUCCUCGCGGCCCUCGCCGCGCUACCCCGGCCUCCACAGCGUGGAGCCCACCCCGGUGACCAAGUGCGAGGCCCUCGACCUCCUUCGGUGGCUGCCCGAGCGGCUCCUCUUACACUAGCCGCUCCCCCCGAUGCCCUAACAGAUGUCUCCGUGCGACGUUCUAAGGUGGUAGUAACGGCAGUUCUUAGACGAGUUAUUAUCCCCGGUCCGACUUUUCCUCAAGUUCCACCUCCAGCUUUGCUAGCCGGCACAGGCCGUGUUCUUGGAGCAGUCCGACGAGCCGAUGACGCACCUCCCACGGAUGUCCUACGAACAGAUGCUCAUACAGCUGUUGCCGUUAGAGCUAGUCACCGAAGUACCGCUCUAACCCCUUCUCUCGGGUAACUGGACCCUAUACUCCUACUUGUAUUAAUAGCCUUGGCGAUUUCCCGACCGGAUAGAAGUGCUUCCCGACCUUGGCUUCCAACAGGUGGCGCUGCAGUUUAGAUCGUUAUAAGAGUAGCUGUUCGUCACCUUACGAUUUCAUAGCCUAAAACCCGAACGUUUUAACGACACGAGCCUCCUUUCGAUACAAUGGUGGGCACAAUACCCUUGGAAACCGAUACACCGCGGACUUAUGCGGUCGUGGCCUUACAAUUGACUCUCCUCGCUACACAUAUCGAAACCGCAAGAAAACUACCUCUAGUAUUGACCAUCUAGAGGACAUCUAAUAUGAUCCAGUCGACCUCUCCACUUGAACUAGCUCACCGACUUCUUGUACCACCGACUCUCCUUUCGUCUCCUUCACCAGCUGGGGUUCGAGGGGCUCUCCGGAAGGGGCUUUCGGGACUUCGCCCGAGAAGACCAGCGGGAAGCGACGCAGCUGGGGCUACCGGUAUUCGCCGGAUUUUACCCCGUACACUAGGUGUACGACCUCUACCUCCUGGAUUUGGGGGCGCUGCUGUCCUUCGGGGCUUCCCUACGCCGUUGACUGUCUAGUUCGAGCUACCUCCUACCCUCGGACUCGUUCGCGCUCUUGGUUGCCAUGUCUACUACUACCCUUCCUGUCUUCUUGCUGCUACGGCUCGGCGGCCCUGUACUAGACUCAAACAGGCCUACCUGACGGAGAACGAUCUAUACGACUACCACAAGAGGAGACUGAACACUGAACACUGAUUGUGGGGGUCGACUGCGAGUACCGUCAGAAUUACUAUUGGGUGAUCGAUUAACGUUCACAACGAAACAAAAACACGGGAGACGAUGACGACUAGAUCGUCGUGAACCAGAAUACUAAGGACCGUGACCUUCUACUCCGUCACUAGUACGGAGGAACAAGAACGACGACCGACGUGCACUCCAGUGUACGGUAAACGUGGUACGUGUGAGAGACUACUUCUAUCUACGACUGUUUCGGUAACAACAAAUAGUAGUAGCGGUAACCAAACCGACUUACGAGAAAAACCGGCAGGUGACAUGGCGUAGACCGCUGAGUCAUUUUUGUCGUAGACCCGGUCAGGAACAGCCGAAGCAGGACAGGACUACUGGACUAGCACAUGGCGCAAGUAGAGAUGAUCGUCCUCAUGGAAAAAAGGUAGGUCAAAUACCCUAUCCUCAAGAUAAAAGGACGGCCAGUUG
rnacentral:rRNA from 1 species